UACGUAGGGCGCAAGCGUUGUCCGGAAUUAUUGGGCGUAAAGAGCUCGUAGGCGGUUUGUCGCGUCUGCCGUGAAAACCCGAGGCUUAACCUCGGGCCUGCGGUGGAUACGGGCAGACUAGAGGUAGGUAGGGGAGAAUGGAAUUCCCGGUGUAGCGGUGAAAUGCGUAGAUAUCUGGAGGAACACCGGUGGCGAAGGCGGCAUCCUGGACCAACACUGACGCUGAGUGAGCGAAAGCCAGGGGAGCAAACGGG
rnacentral:rRNA from 1 species